AUCACAGAGAUGCUUUGUUUUGGUGCGGCGGCGGAAGCAACAUGCCAGCGGUAUCUCGGAGUACUUGAUUACUCCAUCAAGAAGUCGCCCUGAAGAAUUCCGGUAAAAUCGGACGAAAGUUCGAUUGACCGGGGCCAGAUUGGACAAAAGUGAUCAAGGCUCGAAGCACCACGCUGCGGUGCUCGCCUUUAGCUGACUGUGAUGGCGUUCGUGCGGGUUGUGUUGCUUAUUCUAGCGGUGUUGCCAACGUAUGGCUUGGCGAGGUGGAUGCAAGUUCGUCUCAAGAAUGGAAAGGAGCCUCACAUGGGCAUGGUAGAGUUGCGUUACCGCAACAAGUGGGGAGAGAUAUGUGACCAGGACUGGGAUAUCAAGGGCGCUCGAGUGGUAUGCCGUACGCUCGGUUACCCUGACGCAAUAAGAUACACGUUUGGUGAUUGGUUUGGGCGGGGCACCGGGUUCUUCUGGUUGAACAAGGUGCGGUGCGAUGGUACGGAGGAUUCCCUGGAACUGUGUGCAAGGAGCAAUUGGGGUGAUGUCAAGUGCCGGUCAAGCCAGGUGGCCGGGGUGGUAUGCAGGCGCAGAAAUGACGAUAUAACGUUCGUGCCUUUGCCGAUUCAGCAGGGUCAGCAGGUUAGCGACUUGCCAGUGCGGCUUCUAGGCUCGGUUGCCAAUGGAUACAAGACCGAUGGCCUCUUACAAAUUAGGUAUAAAAACCGCUGGGGCUUCGUGUGUUCGUCCAAGUGGAGCGAAGGGAAUUCUCGGGUUGCCUGUGGCAUGCUUGGCUUCAAGGAUACCGUUCACAAGGUGUCAUCCAUUCCUAAACAAAGGAGCCGCGUGGGCUUGUUUCUGUUGAGUGACGUUGAGUGUGAAGGGGAAGAGUCGUCGCUUGUUGAGUGUCCGCACUCAAACUGGGGACCUGUUUCGUGCAAGCGAGGUGCACCUGUCUACCUCUCGUGCGAGUCUUCCAGCCCUCGACAGCCGGUAGCAGUGCGCCUGCGCAGUGGGGUUCAGACGUGGGAGGGCCGCGUGGAAGUGAGGCGAUCCUAUGGGGAUGACAUUGAGCGCUGGGGCUCAGUGUGUGACGAUGGCUUCGGAUUGGUGGAAGGUAACGUGGUGUGUCGGUCCCUCGGGUACGGGACCGCGAGGCGGGUCUUCCAUGAUGCUUGGUAUGGACAGAGUACUGGGAAGGUCUAUAUGGACGAUGUUGAGUGCAGUGGAAAGGAAAAAGAUAUCUCAGAAUGUCAGCACAAAAUGGAGUGGCAAGGAAACUGUAAUCAUUUUGAAGACGUCUCCCUUAUUUGCAACGCUCCUAAGUUAUUCGGCCAUAAGAUGCGCCUGGCUGGUGGAUACAACCGCUUUGAAGGCCGCGUGGAGAUCUUUAUGAACAAUCGGUGGGGCACUGUGUGCGGUGACACGUGGGAGAUGGACGAGGCGACUGUCGUUUGUCGGCAACAAGGUGUUGGCUUCGCUAAAGAGGCUGUGACGUCAAAUAUUUUUGGUGUUACUUACCUGCAGAUGAGGAUGUAUGACGUCAAAUGCAAGGGGAAUGAAAGAUCUCUCUAUCACUGUGGUUACUCUGAAGUAUCCAAGUGCAAGACUGGCAGAACAGCUGGCGUCAUAUGCAGUCAAAAACUCCCUGAUCUGGUCGUCAAUGUUGAAGAGCUUGGCAAUAACGAGCACUACCGUGUGGAGCAAAUGACCUUGGGUAGCCUGACGUGUGCGUAUGAAGAGAACUGCCUAUCUUCUUCCUCGAACCUACUCUGGGAGCAUAACAAGGAUAGCUACAGGACGUUGUUACGCUUCACAAGUCGAAUCGAGAACCGUGGACUUACAGACUUUAGACCUCACAUCGAUAAGUCACAAUGGGAUUGGCACGAGUGUCACAAGCAUUUUCACUCCAUGGAGGUCUUCAGUACAUAUGAUCUAAUAGGAAAGGAAGGUGAAAAGAUCGCAGAGGGCCACAAGGCGAGUUUCUGUCUGGAAGACACGGUGUGUGACGCAGGGAUCCCGAAGAAGUGGAACUGCACGGGCGGGGCAGACCAGGGCGUGUCUCCUAAUUGUUACGAUGUCUACAAGUGGAAUAUUGACUGUCAGUGGAUCGACGUAACAGAUAUGGCAUGGAAAUUCGGGAAAUUCUAUCUUCGGAUAGUCGUCAACCCUAACCGCACAGUCGCUGAGACUGAUUAUGAUAAUAACAUUGGGAUCUGUGAGGUCGACUACUAUAACCCCGUCGUGAUAUUUUCCAAGUGUCGUCUAGAUCACUGUGAGAGCAAGAUUCGUACAAAGGGCGGUAACGGCUAUGGCGAGUGCUGUGUUUUCCCCUUCAGUGUCAACGGGACAGAGUAUACUUCCUGUGCUACCGGACGACCUGAGCAGCCGGACAGACUCUGGUGUCCGACAACAAGAGACUACGAGAGCGAUAAUAAAUGGGGAUAUUGCAUCCUAUAGGUAAGAGAGACGUACAAAUGGGGAUACUGGAUCCUAUAGGUAAGAGUGACGUAAAAUGGGGAUAUUGCAUCCUAUAGAAGGCGAUGAACAGAGAAGAACGAAAACAUCACGGGACCUAUAUUUCAAUGUAAUGUAGAGUUAUCAAUAAAACCAGCUAAACUAAGGAUUCCUGGAA